GGAACAGUUAGCUUAGUUAACCAAUCUCUAUUUCUUUCACCCAAAUAAUUAAAAAUAAUAAUUAAUUAUUAUAGAGGAUAUAGAACGGUCAUCUUGAUAACCGUUUUGUAUUUUUUUAAUUAUUUUUGUCAUUUUAGGAGGAAAUUAUAUACAGAGUGUUAUUAUUAUUAUUAUUAAAAAAAAAAAGGGGAUUUACCCAAAUUAAUCAAAGGCGGCUAUAAGGCUUUUCACUUUCAUUUCACUUUCACUUCCAUUCCACUAAAAAAUACCUUUGCUUAAUAUUCUUAAAAAAAAUACUCCAUACUUCUUGUUAAUUGCUUUAAGUUGACCGAAAACCUCCAAUUGCAUGCACCGCCACUUACUGUUUGUCGUGCCGCCGCUCCACCGCCGCACAAUGUCUGCAGCACCACCACUUCGCUGAGCCACCAUUACAUUGAGGGCUCAAGCAUCCCGAAGAAUAAAAAACAAAGCUCUUCUUCAGAGGCAAAGAAGGAAAAGAAAAAGCAGAAUAAAAGGAAGAAACCAGCAGAAAUGGACAAGAAACUUGGUGUCAAGUGAUUAAAACUUACUACUAUCGUGAAACCAAAAAUUAUUGCUUCUGUCGCCAUUAUCUCAUGGGAAGAUGCCACGAGGUGGUUAUAUAUCGCUAUUAUUUAAAGCAAGUUCUUCCUACAUAUUCUCAACAAAUGAUCGACGAGCUUAGGGAAAGGCGGAUUUCAUAUGUUACGGAUAUUAUCAACCAAAUGACGACGACAAUGAUAUAUAUGAAUUGUAAAUCAAUAUGGUAUUGGUAUGUCUAAGCAUAAUUUUUUUUAAAUCAACAUUAAUUAGAAAUUUGUUUUGAUAUUUAACUCACGUAUUUAUUUGUAUAGAACAAAUUUUGGAUGAAUGAUUCAAUUUAAUUGUGGUUGGAUGUUUUAAAUUAUAUAUACGAAGCAUAUUUUGAUGUC